CGUCACACCAUGGGAGUUGGCCACGCCCGAAGUCGUUACUCCAACCGCUUGUCGGAGGAGGACGCCGAAGGCAGGGCUGAUGACUGGGGUGAAGUCGUAACAAGGUAGCCGUACCGGAAGGUGUGGCUGGAUCACCUCCUUUACAGGGAGACCUACCCACUCUGUGACUGAAAGCAAAAAGCAAAACGCAAGGUGCAAAUAAGUCUAGAGUCGGUCAUCCCAAGGUCGAACGAAAAUGGUGAAGGCUUUCAAACUAUUACAGGUUCAUCGGUCAUAGGUAGAUUAACAGCAAAACUACGCUAGAAGCCAUAGUAAUGCACACUAAGGUUAAUCGUUGACCUCGCUAUCAUUAAUGGCGAUGCCCUAAUGUAAAAGCGAAAGUUAAACAGCAGUGGAAUCACUUCAGCACCUCAUCUAGUAAACAUAUUUGGUAGACAAUGUGUUAGAUUAGAGAGCCUGCUGGAAUGAAUACCAGCAAGAACCUAGAAAAUUGCAUAGCAAAAUGUCAGGUAGAAGCAUUAGUGAAGAAUGAGAUGAGAGGUUGGACGAGAGUUCAAUUAGGAGUCAUGGUUCAACACUAAUGAGAUACAGAAACCAAUGUAGAAAGAUUGCGAAAUCAAGUGGUCAAGCUACAAAGGGCUGAUGGUGGAUACCUAGGCACACAGAGAA
rnacentral:misc_RNA from 2 species